CGCCUAACACAUGCAAGUCGAACGAAGUAGCAAUACUUAGUGGCAGACGGGUGAGUAACAUGUAGGUAUCUGCCCUUUGGCCUGGAAUAACACGAGGAAACUUGUGCUAAUACCGGAUAAGUCUUUACGGAGAAAGCUUUAUGCACCAUUGGAUGAGCCUGCACUUGAUUAGUUUGUUGGUGGGGUAAUGACCUACCAAGACUGUGAUCAAUAGCUGAUUUGAGAGGAUGAUCAGCCACAUUGGGACUGAGACACGGCCCAAACUCCUACGGGAGGCAGCAGUGGGGAAUCUUGCACAAUGGAGGAAACUCUGAUGCAGCGAUGCCGCGUGAGUGAAGAAGGCCCUUGGGUUGUAAAGCUCUUUCGUCGGGGAAGAAAAUGACUGUACCCGAAUAAGAAGGUCCGGCUAACUUCGUGCCAGCAGCCGCGGUAAUACGAAGGGACCUAGCGUAGUUCGGAAUUACUGGGCUUAAAGAGUUCGUAGGUGGUUGAAAAAGUUGGUGGUGAAAUCCCAGAGCUUAACUCUGGAACUGCCAUCAAAACUUUUCAGCUAGAGUAUGAUAGAGGAAAGCAGAAUUUCUAGUGUAGAGGUGAAAUUCGUAGAUAUUAGAAAGAAUACCAAUUGCGAAGGCAGCUUUCUGGAUCAUUACUGACACUGAGGAACGAAAGCAUGGGUAGCGAAGAGGAUUAGAUACCCUCGUAGUCCAUGCCGUAAACGAUGUGUGUUAGACGUUGGAAAUUUAUUUUCAGUGUCGCAGCGAAAGCGAUAAACACACCGCCUGGGGAGUACGACCGCAAGGUUAAAACUCAAAUGAAUUGACGGGGACCCGCACAAGUAGUGGAGCAUGUGGUUUAAUUCGAAGAUACGCGCAGAACCUUACCAACACUUGACAUGUUCGUCGCGACUUUAAGAGAUUAAAGUUUUCGGUUCGGCCGGACGAAACACAGGUGCUGCAUGGCUGUCGUCAGCUCGUGUCGUGAGAUGUUGGGUUAAGUCCCGCAACGAGCGCAACCCUCACUUUUAGUUGCCAUCAUUAAGUUGGGCACUCUGAAAGAACUGCCAGUGAUAAGCUGGAGGAAGGUGGGGAUGACGUCAAGUCCUCAUGGCCCUUACGUGUUGGGCUACACACGUGCUACAAUGGUAUCUACAACAGGAAGCAAGACUGCGAAGUUAAGCAAAUCCCUAAAAGAUACCUCAGUUCGGAUUGCACUCUGCAACUCGAGUGCAUGAAGCUGGAAUUACUAGUAAUCGUGGAUCAGCGUGCCACGGUGAAUGCGUUCCCGGGUCUUGUACACACCGCCCGUCACACCAUGGGAGUUGGUUCUACCCGACGACGCUGCGCUAACCCUUCGGGGAGGCAGGCGGCCACGGUAGG
rnacentral:rRNA from 1 species